rnacentral:lncRNA from 1 species
GGAGCGGGCCGGACGCGCGUGGUGUCGCCCUGGGGACCAGCCCCCUCCCAGCCCCUGCGGAAAGUUUCAGCACCUGGAGGCCGAGUCUCCUCGGCGUGGUGACCCUCCCCGCCCCUAGCCAUGGCGCAGGGGACCGAAAACUGCGAUCCCAUCGGAUCCAUCUUACUCCAGGUCCAAGAAGACCUUCACCAAUUAAAGGAGAAAUUAACAAAAUUCCCAAGUGAGGAAGAAAGAAAGACUCUAGAUAUUCAGAGUCUUGAAACAGCAAUCCGAAGGACAGAAAUGGGGUUAAGAAUUCACCUUCAGAAGUAUUUAGAUGUUGUAAACCAUCAUGUGUUAAUGACUUCUGUUGAUGAGAACUUACAUUCUCCUGUAGCUUCAAAAUGGUUGUUUCCAACUGUAAUUGACUGGAAGUCAUUUGUUUUUCCCCUGGAAUCUGAGGGUAAACUUUGGCGACUCCCAAAACAGCGUGGGUUAAUUCCAAGAGUAAAGCAAAAGAUAGGGUUGAAUGUAAAAAUCAUGCAAGAUCCUGAAAACAUCCACCACAGAGCUGCUGUAAAUGCGAACUAUGGGAUCAGUUUGCCAUAUAUUAAUCAGAGAAAAGCACAUGUGAAUGUUCAGAAAUUAAUCAAAGGGUCCACCAUCUCCAACCUCACAGUCCCACCAUUUUCUCAUGGCACGGAUCCCUGGUUUGUCCCCGUGCCAGUCUUACAGAAGGAUGCCGAUAAAGGGAUUUUAAGUAUGAUAGAAUGA